AGUUCUCCUACCCUUACUCUGAUUAUUUUAGACACAAGACACUUGGCUUGUUUUUAUAGAAUAUUCAUCUCCGUCUAUAGAAUUUAGUUCAAUCUAAUCAUAAACAAUCUUUUCAUAAACCCUUCUUCAAGGUAAAAUCAACACAACCCAUCAAACUCAUUUUUGCGCCUUAGGGCAUCAAAUCGAAAACCCUUCUUUCAAAGGUAAAAUCAACCAAUGCAUAAACAUUUUCUACUCCGAACUACGAAGCUCUG
rnacentral:lncRNA from 1 species